rnacentral:rRNA from 1 species
UACGGGGGGAGCAAGCGUUGUUCAGAUUUACUGGGCGUAAAGGGCGCGUAGGCGGUCAGCACAAGUCAGUUGUGAAAUCUCCGGGCUUAACUCGGAAAGGUCAACUGAUACUGUGCGACUAGAGUGCAGAAGGGGCAACUGGAAUUCUCGGUGUAGCGGUGAAAUGCGUAGAUAUCGAGAGGAACACCUGCGGCGAAGGCAGCUCGCUGGGACGUUACUGACGCUGAGACGCGAAAGCGUGGGGAGCAAACAGG